rnacentral:rRNA from 1 species
GAUGAACGCUGGCGGCGUGCCUAAUACAUGCAAGUCGAGCGAACAGAUGAGAAGCUUGCUUCUCUGAUGUUAGCGGCGGACGGGUGAGUAACACGUGGGUAACCUACCUAUAAGACUGGGAUAACUCCGGGAAACCGGGGCUAAUACCGGAUAAUAUUUUGAACCGCAUGGUUCAAUAGUGAAAGACGGUUUCGGCUGUCACUUAUAGAUGGACCCGCGCCGUAUUAGCUAGUUGGUAAGGUAACGGCUUACCAAGGCGACGAUACGUAGCCGACCUGGGAGGGUGAUCGGCCACACUGGAACUGGGACACGGUCCAGACUCCGACGGGAGGCAGCAGUAGGGAAUCUUCCGCAAUGGGCGAAAGCCUGACGGAGCAACGCCGCGUGAGUGAUGAAGGUCUUCGGAUCGUAAAACUCUGUUGUUAGGGAAGAACAAAUUUGUUAGUAACUGAACAAGUCUUGACGGUACCUAACCAGAAAGCCACGGCUAACUACGCGCCAGCCGCCGCCGUAA